CAGAAACAGCGCUGCAGGACUGGGAGUGAGGAAAGAGGGAUAAAGUGGCAUCCAUGGAUGCAGAGCUGUAUGACUCCAGUGUUCUCUGGCAUCUCCAUAAACUCAGUGUGGCGUCGAUGACAGUUCACCACAGCAUCAGCCAUAGAGCAUCAUUUCCAAACACACACAGAGAGCUUUACUGACUUACUUUAUUCUGGAUGCUGUGGGGACAUAUUUCCUGGUGCAGUCAGUACUCAGAAGGUGUGAAGUCUUGCAGAAUCUCCUUGGUGGGCUCUGCCAUCUGCUG